AGUUCGUGUUGUCUCAAAAGAUACUACACAUGUUUGCAUAAGACAUAAAAGAAAUAAGGUGAUUUUUUAGAGAGUGCGGCGGUAUUCUCGCUACGGUGUCUGUGGGCUGAACUAUAAACGGAGAAUUUUGAACAAGGACCAUGAUCGGUGAUAGUAAGAGUCUCUUAAAUUAAAUUGCUGUGACAUAAUUAUGCUAGCACACAUGAGCACUAAACAGAGGCUUAGCUGUUGGGUAUACAGCUAAAUGGUGGGAUUAAACGCAGCCAUGAGCUCUGUACAUACUUGGCGACGCACCGUGGAGAGCGAGAUGAGGACUGCUGAUAUGACCUGGAGUGAUGCCAAGGAGCAAGCGCAAGACAGGGUCAAGUGGAGACAAUUUGUGAGGGCCCUAUGUACCCUAGGACAUAGGGUACCCUAGGACAACAACAACAUGAGUAACGAUAACUCCUCCAUCAAGUGAACCGUAUUCUUAUCCAUAAAAAAAAGAUUUAAUUGAUUAAUUUUUAUCAAUCUCUAAAAGUAGUACAUUUGAAAAGUAAACUUAGAAGGCGUCUUACUGUUUGUCCGUUACAAAGACAACACGUGCUAGCCAUCCGGCACACCUGCUUGGGAAGCGAUUGUGAUAAAUGAAUCCACUUAUAGGGACGUUUACCUUUAUCGAGUUAGAGAGAUGGUCCGAGAUCAAGAUUGUGCAUGAAACUUGUUGGUUCUGUCACUUUACUGUUCCAUUUUGCUUGUUGCACCUUUUCCCUCUCUUCAUUUUGGACCAUUACAGAUUAAAAUUUCGAUGAUGACCAAAACAAUCGAUUGGAAUUUUUCAAUUGUUUUUUUUUUAAAUCUCAUCAUAAAUUUAUUGUUACUGAAAAAUAUAUUAUCAAAAUAAUUAAUUAAUUCCCUUUGACGUAAUGUUGCAGUAAUUAAUAAUCACUGACAACGAAUUGAAUAUCGAAAAUUGUACUCAAUGUGAUUAACGCGAAUUUAAAUCACAUAAUUAAUUAUCAUAAGAGUGAUUAUAUUUUGGUUGUUGUUGUUAUUUUGUGUUAUUAAUCUGCACAUCGAUGUAUAAGUUUAAAUCGUGUUUAACGCUGGUCGAAUCGCAUGAGAAAAUUUAAUAUCUCAAUCGUUUUGUAAUAGUCGCUGUGCAAUUGUGUGAAAUCCAAAGAAUUGUUAAACGGUAGAUAAAGACCGCAUGGAAGUCAGUCUACUGAGUUUCUCGCCGGAUCUUCUUAAUGGGUCGCGUUUCCGAUCCGGUGGUAGAUUCUGCAAAGCACCGCUCUUGCUAGGGCUAGUGUUAGCUGCACCUCCAGUUUGAGCCUCGAGAGUUAACUACACGGUAGGGUAACGCGGAUAUAGCCUCUCAAGGCUAUCAACAUGUGUAGAAAAAAAAUUAUUAAAAAAAAUUGAAUCCUUUCUUUGCUUGCUUUCAAUACUAAUAGUAAAUUAAUAAGUUUU